rnacentral:rRNA from 1 species
GACGUAGGGGACGAGCGUUGUCCGGAUUCAUUGGGCGUAAAGCGCGCGUAGGCGGUUACGUAAGUCGGGUGUGAAAAUCCGGGGCUCAACCCCGGACCUGCAUCCGAUACUGCGUGACUAGAGGUAGGUAGGGGAGAUCGGAAUUCCUGGUGUAGCGGUGAAAUGCGUAGAGAUGGGGGAGAACACUCGUGGCGAAGGCGGCCAGCUAGACCAGUUCUGACACUGAGGCGCGACAGCGUGGGGAGCAAACAGG